rnacentral:rRNA from 1 species
GACGAACGCUGGCGGCGUGCUUAACACAUGCAAGUCGAACGGAAAGGCCCUGCUUGCAGGGUACUCGAGUGGCGAAUGGGUGAGUAACACGUGGGUGAUCUGCCCUGCACUUCGGGAUAAGCCUGGGAAACUGGGUCUAAUACCGGAUAGGAGCCAUUUUUAGUGUGAUGGUUGGAAAGUUUUUUCGGUGUAGGAUGAGCUCGCGGCCUAUCAGCUUGUUGGUGGGGUAAUGGCCUACCAAGGCGGCGACGGGUAGCCGGCCUGAGAGGGUGGACGGCCACAUUGGGACUGAGAUACGGCCCAGACUCCUACGGGAGGCAGCAGUGGGGAAUAUUGCACAAUGGGCGCAAGCCUGAUGCAGCGACGCCGCGUGGGGGAUGACGGCCUUCGGGUUGUAAACUCCUUUCGCUAGGGACGAAGCUUUUGUGACGGUACCUAGAUAAGAAGCACCGGCUAACUACGUG